rnacentral:rRNA from 1 species
CCUGGUGGCGAGCGGCGGACGGGUGAGUAAUGCCUAGGAAUCUGCCUAGUAGUGGGGGAUAACGUCCGGAAACGGGCGCUAAUACCGCAUACGUCCUACGGGAGAAAGUGGGGGAUCUUCGGACCUCACGCUAUUAGAUGAGCCUAGGUCGGAUUAGCUAGUUGGUGAGGUAAUGGCUCACCAAGGCGACGAUCCGUAACUGGUCUGAGAGGAUGAUCAGUCACACUGGAACUGAGACACGGUCCAGACUCC